GCGAGUUGGUGUGUGGCUUUCGAGUCCCUAGCGCUAAAGCGUAGGACUUGAGGAAACUCCGCCCACAAGUAGAAUUGCAACGCCUGCAAGGGCGUAAGGCGAGAGCCUUGGCUACGGAGCAGAAACGAAACGUCCAUCUGGCAUGUGCCUAUGAUGCAUGUUAAGUUGUUGAGAAUGCUAGGUGUGAAGCUGUGAAACGGCUGUCCUGCAAGUGGAAAGGGCAAACAGAUGCCUGUGAAGAAUCUACCUGAGGCGCGGGUAGCCCGAUUAGUCGAAUGCCACAAAAACAAAAGGCGGGUUACAAC
rnacentral:RNase_P_RNA from 1 species